AACGAACGCUGGCGGCAUGCCUAACACAUGCAAGUCGAACGAGACCUUCGGGUCUAGUGGCGCACGGGUGCGUAACGCGUGGGAACCUGCCCUUAGGUUCGGAAUAACUCCCCGAAAGGGGUGCUAAUACCGGAUAAUGUCUUCGGACCAAAGAUUUAUCGCCUUUGGAUGGGCCCGCGUUGGAUUAGCUAGUUGGUAGGGUAAAAGCCUACCAAGGCGACGAUCCAUAGCUGGUCUGAGAGGAUGAUCAGCCACACUGGGACUGAGACACGGCUCAGACUCCUACGGGAGGCAGCAGUGGGGAAUAUUGCACAAUGGGCGGAAGCCUGAUGCAGCAACGCCGCGUGCGGGAUGACGGCCUUCGGGUUGUAAACCGCUUUCGCCUGUGACGAAGCGUGAGUGACGGUAAUGGGUAAAGAAGCACCGGCUAACUACGUG
rnacentral:rRNA from 1 species